rnacentral:lncRNA from 1 species
UCCAACAAGCCUAUAUGCUCAUUAGAGGGCCAUUCUUAUUCAAACUACUAUAAUCAUCUUUCCCACUCUAAACUUUACUAGUACAAUUAAUUAUAGUUCUGGGCCUUUCCCAGUCUAGUUUGAAAUGUCCAUUGGUGUCAUCCUAGUUCAGUUUCCGUUUGGACAGUCAUGUUGGUUAGACUUUAUGGUUAUAGCUUCUGAUGUUACUAGAAGAUACAGUUUUACAGCAAAUUCCCGGAUCAUUUAGAUCUUACAAUCAAUCUUUCACCUCUCUUAUACAGUGUUCUUUGAACCUUAGGCUUCUAGACCAUUUUGUAUAUGUAUUUAUUAGAACUGGGCUUCACAACUUUGUAUUUUGAUUGAUUAUGGUUUUUUAUAGUUGUUGUCUCCAUCUGAUUCAGAGAGAAAUUUUGUGGGGCACUGGAUUAUGACACCAGACAGAAGAUCUGGAUUUGAGUUAGUCAAGAUGAGCAAUCGUAAAAGCAAGAAUAACAUACAUGCAGAGUGUCUUUCCCAGGUACAAAGAAUUUUACGUGAAAGGUUUUGUCAUCAUACUCCUCAUAGCAACCUAUUUGGAGUGCAAGUACAAUACAAGCAUUUAAUUGAGCUACUCAAAAGAACUGCUAUCUAUGGAGAAAGUAAUUCUUUACUCAUUGUUGGACCACGAGGAUCAGGAAAGACCACGUUAUUAAAUCAUGCCUUGAAAGAGCUCAUGCAAAUAGGAGACAUGAGUGAAAAUGUGUUACAAGUUCACUUAAAUGGACUGCUACAGACAAAUGAUAAAAUUGCUCUGAAAGAGAUCACAAGACAAUUAAAUCUAGAAAAUGUAGUUGGAGAUAAAGUUUU